rnacentral:rRNA from 1 species
UACAGAGGUGGCAAGCGUUGUUCGGAAUUACUGGGCGUAAAGGGCGCGUAGGCGGUCUUGUAAGUCCUGUGUGAAAUCCCUCGGCUCAACUGAGGAACUGCACGGGAUACUGGAUGGCUUGAGUUUGGGAGAGGGACGCGGAAUUCCAGGUGUAGCGGUGAAAUGCGUAGAUAUCUGGAGGAACACCGGUGGCGAAGGCGGCAUCCUGGACCAAUAUUGACGCUGAGGAGCGAAAGCUAGGGGAGCAAACGGG